AUUGAUUUUAUGCUUGCAUAAAUGAUUUUUGGAUUCGGAGCGAGUGGCGAACUGGUGAGUAACACGUGGGUAACCUGCCCCGAAGUGGGGGAUAACAUUUGGAAACAAGUGCUAAUACCGCAUAAUUAGUUGGAACCGCAUGGUUCCAACUUGAAAGAUGGCUCUGCUAUCACUUUGGGAUGGACCCGCGCCGUAUUAGUUAGUUGGUGAGAUAAAAGCCCACCAAGACGAUGAUACGUAGCCGACCUGAGAGGGUAAUCGGCCACAUUGGGACUGAGACACGGCCCAGACUCCUACGGGAGGCAGCAGUAGGGAAUCUUCCACAACGGACGAAAGUCUGAUGGAGCAACGCCGCGUGAGUGAUGAAGGUUUUCGGAUCGUAAAACUCUGUUGUUAAAGAAGAACAAGUGUUAGAGUAACUGUUAACACUUUGACGGUAUUUAACCAGAAAGCCACGGCUAACUACGUGCCAGCAGCCGCGGUAAUACGUAGGUGGCAAGCGCUGUCCGGAUUUAUUGGGCGUAAAGCGAGCGCAGGCGGUUUUGUAAGUCUGCUGUGAAAGCCCUCAGCUCAACUGAGGAAGUGCAGUGGAAACUACAAAACUUGAGUGCAGAAGGGAAAAGUGGAGCUCCAUGUGUAGCGGUGAAAUGCGUAGAUAUAUGGAAGAACACCAGUGGCGAAGGCGGCUUUCUGGUCUGUUACUGACGCUGAGGCUCGAAAGCAUGGGUAGCGAACAGGAUUAGAUACCCUGGUAGUCCAUGCCGUAAACGAUGAAUACUAGGUGUUGGAGGGUUUCCGCCCUCCAGUGCCGCAGCUAACGCAUUAAGUAUUCCGCCUGGGGAGUACGACCGCAAGGUUGAAACUCAAAGGAAUUGACGGGGGCCCGCACAAGUGGUGGAGCAUGUGGUUUAAUUCGAUGCUACGCGAAGAACCUUACCAGCUCUUGACAUCUUCUGCCAACCCAAGAGAUUGGGCGUUCCCUUCGGGGACAGAAUGACAGGUGGUGCAUGGUUGUCGUCAGCUCGUGUCGUGAGAUGUUGGGUUAAGUCCCGCAACGAGCGCAACCCUUAUUAUUAGUUGCCAGCAUUUAGUUGGGCACUCUAGUGAGACUGCCGGUGAUAAA
rnacentral:rRNA from 1 species